rnacentral:rRNA from 1 species
GACGAACGCUGGCGGCGUGCCUAAUACAUGCAAGUCGAGCGCAGGAAGUCGACGGAACCCUUCGGGGGGAAGUCGAUGGAAUGAGCGGCGGACGGGUGAGUAACACGUAAAGAACCUGCCCUCAGGUCUGGGAUAACCACGAGAAAUCGGGGCUAAUACCGGAUGGGUCAUCGGACCGCAUGGUCCGAGGAUGAAAGGCGCUCCGGCGUCGCCUGGGGAUGGCUUUGCGGUGCAUUAGCUAGUUGGUGGGGUAAUGGCCCAACAAGGCGACGAUGCAUAGCGGACCUGGGAGGGUGUUCGGCCACACUGGGACUGGGCCACGGCCCAGAAUCCUACGGGGGGCAGCAGUAGGGAAUCUUCCACAACGGACGAAAGUCUGAUGGAGCAACGCCGCGUGAACGAUGAAGGCCUUCGGGUCGUAAAGUUCUGUUGUAAGGGAAGAACAAGUGCCGCAGGCAAUGGCGGCACCUUGACGGUACCUUGCGAGAAAGCCACGGCUAACUACGUGCCAACAGCCGCAGUAACAC